GAAAUCUGAAUUUUGAUUCAUGCCAACCACCAAUAAUUUAAAACACUUGACUUGUUUAACACUGUAAGUGAACUUUAGGUUGAAGUAGAAAUGAACUAACUACAAUGAAAACCAAGACUAAUUUUGAAGGUUUCAGAAAUAUAAAAACAAACAUCUAAGAAACUAAUGCUCUUUGUAUACCAAACUUCGAGCAAACACACUUGUACUCCUUCAUUUCAUAUGUCAAAGAGAUGAACAAUACCUGGAAUAUAGGAAGCAAAGAAAACCAAGUUCAGCAGAAGAAAAAGGCAGCAACAGAACCCUAUAACAGGAGACAACCAGCAAAGACAACUCAAAACCAAUCCAAUGGAACGGUAAACCAACAGAAAAGCUUGAACCAACACUUUCAAAAUCCCAAUUUAAUCCAUUUUUCGACCCCAAAGAGAAUUAGAAGUUGUUUUUUUUAGUUCAAAACUUCAAGAUCAUAGAAAGAGCUCAAUGAAACAGUGGUUUUUUUAUUUCCAGUCAUUUUCAAUUUUUCUCUGAUUUUUCUCUUCAAUUUCUGCCUUGAAAGGCAAGAAAACCAUGCCUUUAUAGGCAAGGAAGUAGGGCAGCUUACAAAAGAUAAAAUUUGCAAUUAGACCCUUCUCAACUUCUUUUUCUUUGCUUUUUAUUCCUGACUUUUGACUUGUUAACCAAGUAAGUGUACUAUGCAGCUUCUAGGAAGUUUCAUGGGUGGUUACUUGAGAGAUUCUCUCAGUAACUUCCCUAGUUUACCCUUAAUACCCCUGAAUUUUACUUUGAGAACCAGACCAAGAUGGGUCAAAAUUUGGCCCAAUACUAAACCAAAUCAGGUGGGCUACUCCUUUCCAAAUGGAUCAGACACAACCCAAAGCCCAAGCGAGCACUUAUCCAAUUGAAAAGAAUAUACUACAGACCCAGAUAUCAUGAAAUGAUUUCAACAACAAUCCUAAUUCAAUCACUGAUCAAUUCACAGCUAGGUGAGGGAUUAACUAAAUUACUAAAUCAACAUAAACUAAUUAACCUAAACUAAGGAACUAACAAGAAGGAAAUCAGAGACUUAACUCUAAAACUAAACAAACGGGCAAACAAGGUUAGUGAACAAGUUUUAAGAGUUGAAAAGAAAAUUAAAUACGACCAGAAUCAAAUACCAAACCCAAAUUAAUCUAAAGGAGGGAAAACUAAAUCUAAGACUAUUCACAGAAGAUAAAAUUAGUCAAGGCAAACGGAAAAGAAAAGAAGAAGAUCAAGAGAUAAAACGGACAUGCAAAAGAACUCACCAAGCAGACUCGAAACCAAACCGAAUUUCUUGGUUUAACGAAAUUGAUGCUAUUCACUUGUUCUUUGUUAAGAACAAGUGAACUGUAUAGAUUUUGCAUUGAACCAAUACUUCGACUCGUGACAACCAAGAAGCCUGGGCCAUUGCACUCUCAGAACUGAAGGUGAAGAGAUUUGGGGUUUUAGGGUCUCUAAUUUGAUUUGAGAUUCGAGCAACUCUGUGAGGAUUUGAGAGAAACUCGUUGUGGAUUAGGGAAGAUUGAGCCAUGGGGGUUAUCUAGUGUUAAUUUAGGGUGAUUUGGGAAAUUUUAGGUUUUUAGUUUAGUCUUUGAUUGAAGAUUCGACGAGUACCGCGGUGAUUCGAAGGAAACAAACAACGGAUUCGACAUGAGGGGAGGAAGUGGGUGCUAUAGUGUAAAUCUGGUGUGGAUUGGAGGUGGCGCCGCCACUAAUGGCGGUGGGAAUUUAAUGGCGGCUUCUAGGGUUUUCAGUGGUUAGGGUAUCUGAGGUUGUGAAAGAGACGAUGAGGGGGGAGGGGG
rnacentral:lncRNA from 1 species